rnacentral:rRNA from 1 species
GCAGCAGCCGCGGUAAUACAGAGGGUGCGAGCGUUAAUCGGAUUUACUGGGCGUAAAGCGUGCGUAGGCGGCUAAUUGAGUCGGAUGUGAAAUCCCCGAGCUUAACUUGGGAAUUGCAUUCGAUACUGGUUAGCUAGAGUGUGGGAGAGGAUGGUAGAAUUCCAGGUGUAGCGGUGAAAUGCGUAGAGAUCUGGAGGAAUACCGAUGGCGAAGGCAGCCAUCUGGCCUAACACUGACGCUGAGGUACGAAAGCAUGGGGAGCAAACAGGAUUAGAUAACCCAGUAGUCCCUGUCUCUUAUAU